CCUUUCUUGGCUGAUCCCUUUCGCUGUAUGGCGUGCUCGUUUGGGUUGGGCGUCGGCUAAGAGUGCUCGGAGCGUGGAUUAACUCUAGUCUCCUAUCAGGUGUGUAUUUCUCACUACUCUAGCUGUAGGAUGGCUACUUCGGGCUGCGAUGGGCCGAAAGGGAUCAUGUGGGCCCAGUGGGCCUGCGGGCCCAAUUGGAUAAGUUGUUUGAUUGUGUAGUAAAUAUUAGAUAGGCUAGGUGAAUCUCAUAUCUGUGGUUAGUUUGGGCUAAAAGGGCCACACUAGUGUGUGGGCCCAUUUGGGCCGAGAAUAGGCUUUAGGCCCAUUCGUAUUAUUAUCCCUGUUUAGAAUACUUUAGUUUACUAAAAUUACCGAAAUACCCUUAGUUGUAAAAAUACUGAAAUACCCUCGAUUUGUAAAAUUACUGAAAUACCUUCGACUUGUAAAAUUACCAAAGUACCCCCGAUUUACAGAAUUACUGUUUUACCCCCGAUUUACAUAAUUACCAUUUUACCCCCGAUUUACAUAAUUAUCGUUUUACCCUCAACUUACAAAAUUAUCGUUUUACCCUUGAUUUACAGAAUUACCGUUUUACCCUCAAUUUAUAGAAUUACUGUUUUACCCUUGAUUUAUAGAAUUACUAUUUUACCCUCGAUUUACAAAAUUACUAAAAUACCCUUGGUUUGUAAAAUUACCAAAAUACCCCUAGUUUGUAAAAUUACCAAAAUACCCUUGGUUUGUGAAAUUACCGAAAUACCUUCAAUUUAUAAAAUUACCAAAAUACCCCUGAUUUACAAAGUUACAGAAAUACCCUUGACUUUCUAAAAAUUAUAGAAAUACCAUUGGUUUACAAAAUUACUGAAAUACCUUUGGUUUGUUGAUUUACCAAAACACCCUUGUAGGAAGAAAUGACUAAAAUACCCCUAUUAGGGUAAAGUGACCGUAAAGCCCUUGUAGGGUAAAGUGACCGUAAUACCCCUGUAUGGUAAAAUGACGAAUAUGCCCUUAUGUUCCGUAUGACUGAUGUGCUUAGGAUUUACAUAUAUUGAUAUUGGAUUAGUUAAGUUUGAGUGAUAGGUGGUGGUUAUCGUAGGCGAUUGAUUUUGGAAACAUUUCAACUUCAACCCGUAACAGGUGUGUACUAACCCUCGUAAUAGCUUAGAUUAAUAUUUGCUGAGAAGUCGAAUUGCUAAAAUACCGGUAUUUCGAGAACUUGUAAUGUUGCGUUUGGGUAUAGAUGCGAUAAAUAUGAUAAGAUCGGUGUUUGGAUCGAUGGAACAGGUAAGAACUCAAUUUUGUGCACAAUGGUAAGUUGGGCCUCAAUGGGCUGAAAUUGGGCCCCAUGGGCUUUCGGACCCAUUUGGGUAGAAUUGAUAGAAAAUGGAAUUUGGAAAAGUUGCACGUUAACACGGUUAGUAUUGUUGUAAAAUUUGGGUUAAGUAGGCUAAAUCAGCAUUCGUAGGGCCUAUUAGGGGUUUUGGGCCAAAAGCCUGAAUUUGAUAAAGUGGGUUAAAGAUCAUUGUUUAAACACUCGGAAAUAUUGAUAAUUGUAAUGAACAUGGAAAACCCUGAUAUUUGGUAAAAUUACGACAAUACCCUUAUAAUGUGAAAAAUGAUUGUUGUGCCCUUGUGGGCAAGUGACUGACUUGGACUGUGUGGUUGACGUAUUUGAUUGUGAAUAUAUGUUGGUGAUAUGAAUGACUUGACUGUGAUUGUUUAAUUCAAAUAUGGGCAUGACAUUCUACAUACAUGACAUGUUGCAUUGGGUUGGGUUUUUAUAUGGAUGGAGGAAGUGUAAAAAGGCUUAUGCCCCAGUUUACCGAAAAGGGCUUAUGCCCCAGUUUAUUGAAAAGGGCUUAUGCCCCAGUUUACCGAAAAGGGCUUUGCCUCAGUUAUUGAAAAGGCUAGGCCUCCUGAUAUAUGAUAAAGCAGCUAUGCUGCCAGUGGUGUGUUGGUUGAGUGGGUUGAGUUAUUCCCCACAUGGUGUGUUGGUUGGUACGGGUGGAGAGUAGCGGAUGGUGGGUUGAGUAGUCUCCCCAAAUGGGCUUGCAUACAUUUAUUGGUAUUUCAUGUGAUAUUGAAAUGGGCUUGCAUACAUCCAUUGACAUUACAUGUGAUAUUGAAAUGGGCCUAUGGGCCAUACCAUUUAUAGUAAAGGCUUCGGCCCAGUGAAAUGAUUUAUGAAAAGGCUUUGGCCCAGUUAUAUGAUUUAUGAAAAGGCUUCGGCCCAGUAUAUGUCAAGACUAAAUAGGGCUUUGCCCAGAUUGUAUUGAUACUGUGUUUUCACUGUUUGUUUGUUAUUGGGAUUACACACUGAGUUUUCAUAAACUCACCCCAUUUCUAACUGUGCAGGUAAUCCCUAAGCUUAGAUGGUUUGGAGCUGCGAGGGACUCGGAGAUGGCCAUACUACUGUUUCUGUUUCUUUUAAUUGCAAUAAGUAGCCGAUUUAUUUCCUUAUAAGUUUUAUCUUAUUAAUAUUAUUAUUUGGUUUUGGGUUGUAAUAAGGCCAUUUUAAUUAUUUUUAUGGGAUUAUUUUAUUUUUAAUUUUAUUCUGUUUGUCAAUAAAUGGGCUAGACUUAGGACGUG
rnacentral:lncRNA from 1 species